GACAGAGGUGCCGAGCGUUAGGCGGAAUCACUGGGCUUAAAGCGUGUGUAGGCGGGCGGGCAAGUACCUUGUGAAAUCCCAACGGCUCAACCGUGGAACGGCUGGGUAUACUGCCUGUCUUGAGCCAACUAGGGGCGAGCGGAACAGACGGUGGAGCGGUGAAAUGCGUAGAUAUCAUUUGGAACGCCAAUGGUGAAAACAGGCAGCUGGGGAAGUGCUGACGCUGAGACACGAAAGCCAGGGGAGCGAACGGG
rnacentral:rRNA from 1 species